rnacentral:tRNA from 1 species
UCCCUGGUGGUCCAGUGGCUAGAAUGCUGCAUUCCCAGUGCAGAGGGCGCAGGUUCGAUCCCUGGUCAGGGAA